AAGGCCCUUCGGGGUACACGAGCGGCGAACGGGUGAGUAACACGUGGGUGAUCUGCCCUGCACUUCGGGAUAAGCCUGGGAAACUGGGUCUAAUACCGGAUAUGACCUUCGGCUGCAUGGCUGAGGGUGGAAAGGUUUACUGGUGCAGGAUGGGCCCGCGGCCUAUCAGCUUGUUGGUGGGGUAAUGGCCUACCAAGGCGACGACGGGUAGCCGACCUGAGAGGGUGACCGGCCACACUGGGACUGAGACACGGCCCAGACUCCUACGGGAGGCAGCAGUGGGGAAUAUUGCACAAUGGGCGAAAGCCUGAUGCAGCGACGCCGCGUGAGGGAUGACGGCCUUCGGGUUGUAAACCUCUUUCAGCAGGGACGAAGCGAAAGUGACGGUACCUGCAGAAGAAGCACCGGCCAACUACGUGCCAGCAGCCGCGGUAAUACGUAGGGUGCAAGCGUUGUCCGGAAUUACUGGGCGUAAAGAGNUCGUAGGCGGUUUGUCGCGUCGUCUGUGAAAACUCAAGGCUCAACCUCGAGCUUGCAGGCGAUACGGGCAGACUUGAGUACUGCAGGGGAGACUGGAAUUCCUGGUGUAGCGGUGAAAUGCGCAGAUAUCAGGAGGAACACCGGUGGCGAAGGCGGGUCUCUGGGCAGUAACUGACGCUGAGGANCGAAAGCGUGGGUAGCGAACAGGAUUAGAUACCCUGGUAGUCCACGCCGUAAACGGUGGGCGCUAGGUGUGGGUUUC
rnacentral:rRNA from 1 species